rnacentral:rRNA from 1 species
UACGUAGGGGGCAAGCGUUGUCCGGAAUUAUUGGGCGUAAAGAGCGUGUAGGCGGUCCGGUAAGUCAGCUGUGAAAGUCAAGGGCUCAACCCUUGAAUGCCGGUUGAUACUGUCGGGCUAGAGUCCGGAAGAGGCGAGUGGAAUUCCCGGUGUAGCGGUGAAAUGCGCAGAUACCGGGAGGAACACCAAUGGCGAAGGCAGCUCGCUGGGACGGUACUGACGCUGAGACGCGAAAGCGUGGGGAGCAAACAGG